GCGGAAAAUCGGGUAAUCGCUCUAUGAAGCUUUAGUGGAUUAGAGAGGAAAGUCCGGACACCAACAGGCACCACGCUCAACGAUCCUUCGGGCGAAGUUGAGGCUCGGUUAGGGCGACCUGGCCGGGACAGAAAGUGCAACAGAAAGCAAACCGUCUCGAUUCGUCGGGAUAAGGGUGAAAAGGUGAGGUAAGAGCUCACCGCCCCGUACUGUGAAGUCGGGGGCAAGGUAAACCUCGUGGGGUGCAAGCUCAUGUAGGGUGGUAUGCGUCGCUUGUCGUAAAGCCACCGGGUGGAGUGCACCAGAUAAAUGAUUACCGAAUCCCGGGUAUCCGGGAGGAACAAAAUCCGGCUUAUAGAUUUUCCGCUAUA
rnacentral:RNase_P_RNA from 1 species